rnacentral:rRNA from 1 species
AUUGAACGCUGGCGGCAGGCCUAACACAUGCAAGUCGAGCGCGCGGCGGGCGGGUGAGUAAUGUAUGGGGAUCUGCCCGAGAGAGGGGGAUAACUACUGGAAACGGUAGCUAAUAACGCAUACGAUCGGCUGAACCCAUAUGGGGUUAGCUAGUAGGUGAGGUAAUGGCUCACCUAGGCGACGCGCCCUAGCUGGUCGGAGAGGAUGACCAGCCACACUGGGACUGAGACACGGCCCAGACUCCUACGGGAGGCAGCAGUGGGGAAUAUUGCACAAUGGGCGCAAGCCUGAUGCAGCCAUGCCGCGUGUAUGAAGAAGGCCUUCGGGUUGGAAAGUACUUUUGGCAGAGAAGCGGUAUCUGCAGAAUAAGCACCGGCUAACUACGUGCCAGCAGCCGCGGUAAUUC